rnacentral:rRNA from 1 species
AGCCUGAUCCAGCAAUGCCGCGUGCAGGAUGAAGGCCUUCGGGUUGUAAACUGCUUUUGUACGGAACGAAAAAGCUUCUCCUAAUACGAGAGGCCCAUGACGGUACCGUAAGAAUAAGCACCGGCUAACUACGUGCCAGCAGCCGCGGUAAUACGUAGGGUGCGAGCGUUAAUCGGAAUUACUGGGCGUAAAGCGUGCGCAGGCUGUUAUGUAAGACAGAUGUGAAAUCCCCGGGCUCAACCUGGGAACUGCAUUUGUGACUGCAUGGCUAGAGUACGGUAGAGGGGGAUGGAAUUCC